rnacentral:tRNA from 1 species
UGGGGUAUCGCCAAGCGGUAAGGCACCGGACUGAUUCCGGCAUUCCGAGGUUCGAAUCCUCGUACCCCAGCCA